GAUGAACGCUAGCUACAGGCUUAACACAUGCAAGUCGAGGGGCAGCAUGGUCUUAGCUUGCUAAGACUGAUGGCGACUGGCGCACGGGUGCGUAACGCGUAUGCAACUUGCCUCACAGAGGGGGAUAACCCGUCGAAAGACGGACUAAUACCGCGUACACUCCACUUUGGGCAUCCAAAGUAGAGGAAAUGAAAUUCGCUGUGAGAUAGGCAUGCGUCCCAUUAGCUAGUUGGUGAGGUAACGGCUCACCAAGGCGACGAUGGGUAGGGGAACUGAGAGGUUGAACCCCCACACUGGUACUGAGACACGGACCAGACUCCUACGGGAGGCAGCAGUGAGGAAUAUUGGUCAAUGGGCGAGAGCCUGAACCAGCCAAGUCGCGUGAAGGAUGACUGUCUUAUGGAUUGUAAACUUCUUUUAUACGGGAAUAACAAGAGUCACGUGUGGCUCCCUGCAUGUACCGUAUGAAUAAGCAUCGGCUAACUCCGUGCCAGCAGCCGCGGUAAUACGGAGGAUGCGAGCGUUAUCCGGAUUUAUUGGGUUUAAAGGGUGCGUAGGCGGCCUGUUAAGUCAGCGGUGAAAUCUAGGAGCUUAACUCCUAAAUUGCCAUUGAUACUGGUGGGCUUGAGUGUAGAUGAGGUAGGCGGAAUGCGUGGUGUAGCGGUGGAAUGCAUAGAUAUCACGCAGAACUCCGAUUGCGAAGGCAGCUUACUAAGGUACAACUGACGCUGAAGCACGAAAGCGUGGGUAUCAAACAGG
rnacentral:rRNA from 1 species